rnacentral:tRNA from 1 species
UCCCUGGUGGCUCAGACGGUAAAGCAUCUGCCUGCAAUGCAGGGGAUCUGGGUUCGAUUCCUGGGUCGGGAA